AGAGGUAGCCAUUGUUAAAGUGCCAGCCCAUGUGAAGCAAGAUGAUCCGCUGGCUGUGGGAAAUGCUCAAGCAGACCAAGCAGCCAAACAAGCAGCCGGUCUGCCGCUCCUGACAUUGUUUUUUCCAACUAUGCCAGAUUUGUCGCUCUUGCAGGAAUUACAGGCCCAGAUAACGCCUCAAGACAAAAAGGUAUGGAUGGAGGCGGGGGCUACGAAGACAGAAGAGCUCUGGCAGGUAAAUGGCAGAACAUGUUUGCCUCGGAGUUUGUAUCCGAUGAUGGCCAAUUUAGCACAUGGCCCUACUCAUUUGUCGAAAGGAGCUAUGAGCGCACUAGUGUUAGAACAUUGGUUUGCACCUGGAAUUCAGACCCUCUUUGAAAAGUUUGUUCAGGGUUGUCUUACAUGUGCCAGACAUAACCCUGGGAGGUUUGUAAAGACCCCCAAGAAACACACUCCCAAACCCUUGUACCCGUUUCAAAGAGUGCAGGUGGAUUACAUCCAGCUACCCAAGAUCCUAAUUCUCUUGAAGGUACACAUUCUCUAGUUCCUGGAGAUUGGGUAGUCCUGAAGAGGCAUGUAAGAAAGACCCUGGAGCCAAGGUUUGACGGUCCAUAUCAGGUGCAACUGACCACACCCACCGCCGUCAAGCUGAACGGGAGACCAGUCUGGGUCCAUGCAAGUCACUGCAAAAAGGUUCUGAAGACAGACAGUCACGAACAGGAAAGCAGCCCUACAGUUGUGAAAGGAGGAAAACAUACAAAUUCCAUUUGGCAACUACAUCAACAGACUGCCAAGCAGCUGAAUACUACUGACUGUUGGAUAUGCUCUCAUAUCCCUGCCAACUACAAGGGAAUCCCUCUGAUAGGUGUUCCAAUCUCUAUGAAUGAUUUGAAUCUCACAGACUAUAGCUAUGAUGUUCAAAUAGAUGUAGAUCACACCUCACAUAAUGCUGUUUCUGAUCAAGGGAUAUACUUAGAGAUUACUGGUAUAAUCUCUCCGCCCACUAUAUGUUUGGGGCCUAUGUUUGUGAACCAUAUAGCUAAGAUAAAGGGCCGUUUUGUCAGUUUACCACAGAUAUAUGUGGGGGAAACAGAUUGUAGAAAUGCUACUCUGAUAUUCAAUAUGGAAUUUAGGAAGACUUCAUGUGACAUAGUUAAUACUAACUGUAAUAGUUUGUGUUUCUGUCCAACUAUGAAAGUUUCUUGUGCCCCAGGUGUGCCUGUCCAGAAAAGAAGGACAAGGACAAAUGGACUUGUAAGACGAAAUUGUAUGAUAAUAUGAUAUGGUUUCAGGGAUGGCUGGGACAUCACGGCAGGAUGAUUCCCAAAGUCCUGAAACAAGGACUAUAUUACAUUUGUGGUAACAGAGCCUACUCAUGGCUCCCUAUGGGGGCAUGGGGCAACUGUACCAUAGGAAGAGUUGUCCCAGCCAUCAGACGACGCACAAACAUUUCACUUACUGAUGCCCCUGAAACUCUUCUUGGGAUGACUAGAAACAAACGAGAGUUAUUCACAUCAGCAGAUAAAGCCUGGAUGUGGUUCCCUUCUUGGACAGGUUGGGGAAUUGAGUUAGCAAAUAAAUUAAACAAAUAUGCAAAUAUCAUGGAUGGAAUUAUUAAUGAGACCACAAGUUCAAUCCAUGCCCUUAAUGAGGAACUGGCACAAGUCAGGAAAGUGGCUCUCCAAAAUAGGAUGGCCUUAGACUACCUCCUAGCUAUAGAGGGUGGGACUUGUGCUAUCAUAGGAGAAGAAUGCUGCACCUGGGUUGAAGAUUCACAUGAUCCCAUAGAGGCCCACAUGAAUAAGGUAAAGGAAUUGCAACAAAAAGCUAGAGACAUAGCUAAAGAAGGAUGGAACCCCUUCUCUUGGAUGGGGUCUAUAGGUGUCUGGUUCAACAAUAUGAUCUCUGAUUUACUGAAGCCCAUAGUGGUAGUGAUAGGCCUGGUUUUGAUACUGCUAAUUGCUUGGAAAUUACUAAUGUUGUGUAUUUCUCAUUGCAGUAGGGGAAAUUCCCUCCCUUGAAAAUAGAUGACACAACAGCCCUGGAGAUGACAGUCUGAAGCUCCUGUGCUGCGAUGUAUCCCUAGUUGCUGUUGUCAUCCACUUAGAUAGUGUGUUUGUGUGUAGUAUGUGGUUUUAAUAAAAUGUAUGCUUAAUCAAAUGACAACUACUAGACAGGCUGGAAUCGAUGCUUGCAUCGCAUGGUCUAUGCAGCUUAUCUGUAUACUCUGUGAAGUACGGGCUGUCUAAGGGGUCAU